rnacentral:lncRNA from 1 species
CUUUGCAUCUCUUCUGAUGUUUGUGUGCUGUGAUGUAGAGGUAAACUACUAUAUUUUUGGAGUAGAGAUUUGGAAACUAAUUGUCGUUCAUCACUUAGCCCGGUGGAGUAGAACAUAGGUUAUUAUAAAAAGGCUUAGAACCCAUGAUACAGUUGAGUUUUCUGUAUUGGAGUUCUGAUAGGACAAGGUAACACGUCUGCUGCGGCUGAGGUUUGAUGUGUUUUAUUGACUAACCUAUUUGAAACGAUGGUAGUAGUGACAGUAGUUCACUUGCCAGAAGCUGUAUUAUUGAACGUGUGAACAGGAAUUUGCUAAAUAUAUGAUUAGAACUUUUGUUCUGUCAGGACAGAUCUCCCCUGUUGCUGAGGUGAUUGUGCUCCAAAAGAUUGAUGCAGUUUUGCUGUUGGAAUCAGCUGGGUCAGGCUGAAGUGAUAAUUUACUUCAGAAACAAUUUUGUUAUGCUAACUGGAAAUGGUUUGUAUUAUAUACACCUAUUGAGGUGGUGCGAUUUGAUCAAUUGAAGUUGUAUCCUCGGAUGUACCUUUGCAGCUUCUGCAUUUUAUUAUUUAUUCUCUUUCAUUUCCCCCAUAAUUUUUACUUUGUGCCUAUUGAACUUGCUAUAGGUUUUGAAUAAUAUAUCUCAG